rnacentral:rRNA from 1 species
GUGGAUGAGGCAUGCAAGUCGAACGAAUAAGUAGCAAUACUUAUUAGUGGCGGAAGGGUUAGUAAUACAUGGAUAACCUGCCUCUAACUUUGGAAUAACACUUGGAAACGGGUGCUAAUACUGGAUGUGACGAUUUUUAGGAUCUAAGAAUCGUUAAAGCGGGGGAUCGAAAGACCUUGCGGUUAGAGAGGGGUCCAUGGGAUAUCAGCUAGUUGGUGAGGUAAUGGCUCACCAAGGCUAAGACGUCUAGGCGGAUUGAGAGAUUG